GCCUGUUUAGCUCAAUGGUAGAGCAACGGUUUUGUAAACCGUAGGUUAUCGGUUCAAGUCCGAUAGUGGGCA
rnacentral:tRNA from 1 species